rnacentral:piRNA from 1 species
UACAGAUAGCCACAGAAAAGGUCCAAA